rnacentral:rRNA from 1 species
CCUACGGGAGGCAGCAGUGGGGAAUCUUGCACAAUGGGCGAAAGCCUGAUGCAGCAACGCCGCGUGCGGGAAGAAGGCCCUAGGGUUGUAAACCGCUUUCAGUAGGGAAGAAAAUGAUGGUACCUACAGAAGAAGGUGCGGCCAACUACGUGCCAGCAGCCGCGGUGACACGUAGGCACCAAGCGUUAUCCGGAUUUAUUGGGCGUAAAGAGCUCGUAGGCGGUUCGGUAAGUCGGGUGUGAAAACUCUGGGCUCAACCCAGAGAGGCCACCCGAUACUGCUGUGACUAGAGUGCGGUAGGGGAGCGGGGAAUUCCUGGUGUAGCGGUGAAAUGCGCAGAUAUCAGGAGGAACACCAGCGGCGAAGGCGCCGCUCUGGGCCGUAACUGACGCUGAGGAGCGAAAGCAUGGGUAGCAAACAGGAUUAGAUACCCUGGUAGUCCAUGCCGUAAACGUUGGGCACUAGGUGUGGGUCUCAACCAACGAGAUCCGCGCCGUCGCUAACGCAUUAAGUGCCCCGCCUGGGGAGGUACGGUCGCGAGACGAAACUACAAUAAGUAGUAGUUACGGCGUGAGACGUGCCGAGGCGACGACGAGGGAGGAGG